rnacentral:rRNA from 1 species
UACGGAGGGGGCGAGCGUUAUUCGGAAUCAUUGGGCGUAAAGGGCGCGUAGGUGGCCCGGUCAGUUCGUGGUGAAAGCGCGGGGCUCAACCCUGCGUCGGCCAUGAAUACUGCCGCGGCUGGAGCACUGUAGAGGCAGGCGGAAUUCCGGGUGUAGCGGUGGAAUGCGUAGAGAUCCGGAAGAACACCGGUGGCGAGGGCGGCGAUCUGGGUAGAUACUGACGCUGAGGUGCGAAAGCGUGGGGAGCAAACAGG